rnacentral:rRNA from 1 species
ACGAAAGUCUGACGGAGCAACGCCGCGUGAGUGAUGAAGGUUUUCGGAUCGUAAAGCUCUGUUGUUAGGGAAGAACAAGUGCAAGAGUAACUGCUUGCACCUUGACGGUACCUAACCAGAAAGCCACGGCUAACUACGUGCCAGCAGCCGCGGUAAUACGUAGGUGGCAAGCGUUGUCCGGAAUUAUUGGGCGUAAAGGGCUCGCAGGCGGUUUCUUAAGUCUGAUGUGAAAGCCCCCGGCUCAACCGGGGAGGGUCAUUGGAAACUGGGAAACUUGAGUGCAGAAGAGGAGAGUGGAAUUCCACGUGUAGCGGUGAAAUGCGUAGAGAUGUGGAGGAACACCAGUGGCGAAGGCGACUCUCUGGUCUGUAACUGACGCUGAGGAGCGAAAGCGUGGGGAGCGAACAGGAUUAGAUACCCUGGUAGUCCACGCCGUAAACGAUGAGUGCUAAGUGUUAGGGGGUUUCCGCCCCUUAGUGCUGCAGCUAACGCAUUAAGCACUCCGCCUGGGGAGUACGGUCGCAAGACUGAAACUCAAAGGAAUUGACGGGGGCCCGCACAAGCGGUGGAGCAUGUGGUUUAAUUCGAAGCAACGCGAAGAACCUUACCAGGUCUUGACAUCCUCUGACAACCCUAGAGAUAGGGCUUUCCCUUCGGGGACAGAGUGACAGGUGGUGCAUGGUUGUCGUCAGCUCGUG